rnacentral:rRNA from 1 species
CACGUAGGGGGCGAGCGUUGUCCGGAUUUAUUGGGCGUAAAGAGCUCGUAGGCGGUUUCGUAAGUCGGAUGUGAAAACUCCAGCUCAACUUGGAGACGCCAUUCGAUACUGCGAUGACUUGAGUCCGGUAGGGGAGUGUGGAAUUCCUGGUGUAGCGGUGAAAUGCGCAGAUAUCAGGAGGAACACCAAUUGCGAAGGCAGCUCGCUGGGACGUUACUGACGCUGAGACGCGAAAGCGUGGGGAGCAAACAGG